rnacentral:rRNA from 1 species
AGUGAACGCUGGCGGUAGGCCUAACACAUGCCAGUCGAACGGCAGCACAGUAAGAGCUUGCUCUUACGGGUGGCGAGUGGCGGACGGGUGAGGAAUACAUCGGAAUCUACUUUUUCGUGGGGGAUAACGUAGGGAAACUUACGCUAAUACCGCAUACGACCUACGGGUGAAAGCAGGGGAUCUUCGGACCUUGCGCGAUUGAAUGAGCCGAUGUCGGAUUAGCUAGUUGGCGGGGUAAAGGCCCACCAAGGCGACGAUCCGUAGCUGGUCUGAGAGGAGGAUCAGCCACACGGGAACGGAGACAAGGUCCAGACUCCUACGGGAGGCAGCAGUGGGGAAUAUUGGACAAUGGGCGCAAGCCUGAUCCAGCCAUACCGCGUGGGUGAAGAAGGCCUUCGGGUUGUAAAGCCCUUUUGUUGGGAAAGAAAAGCAGCAGGCUAAUACCCCGCUGUUCUGACGGUACCCAAAGAAUAAGCACCGGCUAACUUCGUG